UACGUAGGGUGCAAGCGUUGUCCGGAAUUAUUGGGCGUAAAGAGCUCGUAGGCGGUCUGUCGCGUCUGCUGUGAAAACUCGGGGCUUAACCCCGGGCCUGCAGUGGGUACGGGCAGACUAGAGUGUGGUAGGGGAGACUGGAAUUCCUGGUGUAGCGGUGAAAUGCGCAGAUAUCAGGAGGAACACCGAUGGCGAAGGCAGGUCUCUGGGCCACUACUGACGCUGAGAAGCGAAAGCAUGGGGAGCGAACAGG
rnacentral:rRNA from 1 species